AGAGUUUGAUCCUGGCUCAGGAUGAACGCUAGCUACAGGCUUAACACAUGCAAGUCGAGGGGCAUCAGUUUGGUUUGCUUGCAAACCAAAGCUGGCGACCGGCGCACGGGUGAGUAACACGUAUCCAACCUGCCUCAUACUCGGGGAUAGCCUUUCGAAAGAAAGAUUAAUAUCCGAUAGCAUAUAUUCCCCGCAUGGGUUUUAUAUUAAAGAAUUCGGUAUGAGAUGGGGAUGCGUUCCAUUAGUUUGUUGGCGGGGUAACGGCCCACCUAAGACUACGAUGGAUAGGGGUUCUGAGAGGAAGGUCCCCCCACAUUGGAACUGAGACACGGUCCAAACUCCUACGGGAGGCA
rnacentral:rRNA from 1 species